AGAUGUUAGUGACUGACAUAUUAGAUUUUCCAGGUGAGAAAACCUACGAUUGAUUUAGAUCCAAUAUCAUCACUUAUUUAUGCUAAAGUUAUCAUCUAAAACUACAAGAAGUUUCUGACUUAUGUUGAUUAUUUACAAUGAAAAUCCAUACUUACAAUGUCUACUACCAUCAAUGAUUUUGUAGUAAUGGUAGCCCAAUUGCCUGGAUGGCCAAGUAGUUAUCAGGAUGAAGUGUGCAGUGUUUACAUCAUGGAGUUUUUAUAUUUAAUUCUGAGUUUCAUAAGUCCUAGAUUUAGAUAGAUUUUUUUUAGAUGUCCAAGCGCAGCACAUUCAAUCCCAUCCUUCAUCUGACUAUCCAUUGUUAUCAUAGAUACAGGCAGCAUAUGAUAGGAAUUGGGAUGCCCAGCUCUUGGUAUCCAAUAAGAAAGAAUGCAGGAUACAAUACAAAAGAAAAAUGGCAGCCAUGUAAUCUUCAAUGCUUUUUGUAUAAAAAUUUUGUUUCAAUUCAAAAAUAUUUCCUAAUAUAUUUGCAAAGAAAUCACAUAUACAGAUAGUUAUCAACUUAUGAC
rnacentral:lncRNA from 1 species